UCCAGUAAAGCUCCACCUCUUCCUGUACGCAGAUAUACACUGAGGACAGCACAUGAUGAUCAGAGCAGAGAGCAGGCGGACGGCCAGAGAGACGGUCUACCUGGACAUGGAUCACCUGUUGGUGCUGCUGCUGCUGUGGAGCUCAGGACUCCAGACUGAAGGACAACACACCUCAACAGAGCCUGAUGAUGUCAGGUUGGUGGGAGGAGCCAGUCGCUGUGCAGGAACACUGGAGGUG